UACGUAGGUGGCAAGCGUUGUCCGGAUUUACUGGGCGUAAAGGGCGUGCAGGCGGUCUGUUAAGUGCAGGGUGAAAGCUCCCGGCUCAACUGGGAGAGGUCCUUGCAUACUGGCGGACUUGAGGGGGGUAGAGGAAAGUGGAAUUCCCGGUGUAGUGGUGAUAUGCGUAGAUAUCGGGAGGAACACCUGUGGCGAAGGCGGCUUUCUGGGCCGAUACUGACGCUGAGGCACGAAAGCGUGGGGAGCAAACAGG
rnacentral:rRNA from 1 species